GACAGAGGGUGCAAACGUUGUUCGGAAUUACUGGGCGUAAAGCGCGUGUAGGCUGCUCGGAAAGUCGGAUGUGAAAGCCCUUGGCUUAACCGAGGAAGUGCAUCCGAAACUGGCGAGCUAGAGUACUAAAGAGGAUCGCGGAAUUCCCGGUGUAGAGGUGAAAUUCGUAGAUAUCGGGAGGAACACCGGUGGCGAAGGCGGCGAUCUGGGUAGAUACUGACGCUGAGGUGCGAAAGCGUGGGGAGCAAACAGG
rnacentral:rRNA from 1 species